UACGGGGGGGGCAAGCGUUGUUCGGAAUUACUGGGCGUAAAGGGCUCGUAGGCGGCCAACUAAGUCAGACGUGAAAUCCCUCGGCUUAACCGGGGAACUGCGUCUGAUACUGGAUGGCUUGAAUCCGGGAGAGGGAUGCGGAAUUCCAGGUGUAGCGGUGAAAUGCGCAGAUAUCAGGAGGAACACCGGUGGCGAAGGCGGCUUGCUGGGCCUUACCUGACGCUGAGGAGCGAAAGCGUGGGGAGCGAACAGG
rnacentral:rRNA from 1 species